rnacentral:rRNA from 1 species
AUUGAACGCUGGCGGCCGGCCUAACACAUGCAAGUCGAGCGGUAACAGGAAGAAGCUUGCUUCUUUGCUGACGAGCGGCGGACGGGUGAGUAAGACUUGGGAACUUGCCUUUAGGCGGGGGAUAACUACGGGAAACUGUGGCUAAUACCGCAUAAUGUCUACGGACCAAAGUGGGGGAUCUUCGGACCUCACGCCUAAAGAUGGGCCCAAGCGAGAUUAGCUAGUUGGUGGGGUAACGGCUCACCAAGGCGACGAUCUCUAGCUGUUCUGAGAGGAUGAUCAGCCACACUGGGACUGAGACACGGCCCAG